UAAGUGAAGAGUUUGAUCCUGGCUCAGAGUGAACGCUGGCGGUAGGCCUAACACAUGCAAGUCG
rnacentral:rRNA from 1 species